CAAAAAAUAAUUUAAUUAAAAUAUUAGUUUUGGAGACUAAAUUUAUAAACUUAUGUUUAUUUUUUUGA
rnacentral:tRNA from 1 species